rnacentral:rRNA from 1 species
ACGCGUUAAAGUUAUCCACCUGAGGAGUACGGUCGCAAGCUUAAAACUCAAAGGAAUAGACGGGGGACCCACACAAGCAGUGGAUCACGUGGUUUAAUUCGACAAUAAACGGGGAAUCUUACCCAGACUUGACAUCCUAGGAAAUUACCAGAGAUGGUUUUGUGCCCUCACGGGAACCUAGUGACAGGUGCUGCAUGGUUGUCGUCAGCUCGUGCCUUGAGGUGUUCGGUUAAGUCCGUUAACGAGCGCAACCCAUGUCUUUAGUUAUAUGUCUAAAGAGACUGCCUUGGUUAACAAGGAGGAAGGUGUGGAUGACGUCAAAUCAGCAUGGCUUUUACGUCUGGGGCUACACACAUGAUACAAUGGUAUGUACAAAGAGCAGCAAUAUGGCGACAUUGAGCUAAUCUUAAAAGCAUAUCUCAGUCCGGAUUGAAGUCUGAAAUUCGACUUCAUGAAGUUGGAAUUNCUAGUAAUCGUGAAUCAGAUAUGUCACGGUGAAUAUGUUCCUGGGUCUUGUACUCACCGCCCGUCAUGGCAUG